AAUUAGUGAGAACAAAAUAUCAAUGAAAAAUAAGAAAAUGAGAGAAAAAAGUGAGAAAAUGAAGGAUAGUGAAAAGUGAGAUAGUGAGGAAAAAUAUUUACUACUGAAAAAAAGAAAGAGAGAGAGAGAGAUACAGAAUAAAGUGAGAAAGUGACUGGACUACUACUACUACUACUACUACUACUACUACUACUACUACUACUACUACUACUACUACUACUACUACUACUAUCACUACUACUACUACUACUACUACUACUACUACUACUACUACUACUACUACUACUACUACUACUACUACUACUACUACUACUACUACUACUACUACUACUACUACUACUACUACUACUACUACUACUACUACUACUACUACUACUACUACUACUACUACUUUUUUUUUUACGGGCCUCCAUCUAUUAGAGUUGCGUUGUGAGCGGUAUAUUCUCUCAUAUCCUUUCACAAAACAAUUCAUUGGCCCCACCCCGCCAAUGACUGUGGCCGACAACCAUCCUUAUUUAAUAUUACAAACCUUACUAAACAUAUUAUUUUUAAGCUAACCGAGCUUGUGGUUGAUACGACUAUCAACCACCGUCGCCUCAAAGUCCAGGUCGGCAAUGUGGGUGGUUUUGGGUGCAGGUGACCUGGUUCCUCUCAGGCAGACCAAGGCUGACCUCAGGAGGGAGAAGGACAGCCUGCAUCUCAUCCAGGCGACCACACUGCUUCUUGGCUGCUACUACUACUACUACUACUACUACUACUACUACUACUACUACUACUACUAACUCUUCGUCCAACCUGCAGGAUGUGUGAAGAAGAAGAGGAAGAAGAGGAAGAAGAGGAAGGCUCAGGAGGAAGAAAAGUCCCUCACUGCAUUGAGACUCAAGGGAAGGAGCCGAGAUGAGACCAGACUCAGCCCUCCAGUGAGCCCAGGUGACCACCAGGGGGACACCCACGCACCUCAUGGCUUAGGGGAAAAUGCAUGAAGGUGGUGGGUGAGUGAAGCAACGCACCCCCUGUGUAUGCUCAGGUCCCAGGCUACGUCAGGGAGGGAGACAGAGACGAGACCACUGAGCCGAGGGAACCAGUCAGGCCUUCAAGAUGCUGCCUGGAUGCUGGGGGAGAAGAGUCCUGUUGGGGAGAAGAUGGAGGGAGAUUAAUUGAAGGGCAGAGAUGAGAGAGAGAGAGAGAGAGAGAGAGAGAGAGAGAGAGAGAGAGAGAGAGAGAGAGAGAGAGAGAGAGAGAGAGAGAGAUGGAACUAACUGUCUCUCUCUGUAUUUCUAUAAAGAGAAGACUAAUAAAGUUUGGAAAUAUAUA